CUCAAGUGGUCAGGAUGAUUAUUGGGCCUAAAGCAUCCGUAGCUCGUUUUGUAAGUUUUCGGUUAAACCCAUGCGCUCAACGUAUGGGCUGCCGGGAGUACUGCAUAACUAGGAAGUGGGAGAGGUAGACGGUACUCGGUAGGAAGGGGUAAAAUCCUUUGAUCUAUUGACGACCACCUGUGGCGAAGGCGGUCUACCAGAACACGUUCGACGGUGAGGGAUGAAAGCUGGGGGAGCAAACCGGAUUAGAUACCCGGGUAGUCCCAGCUGUAAACUAUGCAAACUCAGUGACGCAUUGGCUUGUGGCCAAUGCAGUGCUGCAGGGAAGCCGUUAAGUUUGCCGCCUGGGAAGUACGUACGCAAGUAUGAAACUUAAAGGAAUUGGCGGGGGAGCACCACAAGGGGUGAAGCCUGCGGUUCAAUUGGAGUCAACGCCAGAAAUCUUACCCGGAGAGACAGCAGAAUGAAGGUCAAGCUGAAGACUUUACCAGACAAGCUGAGAGGUGGUGCAUGGCCGUCGCCAGCUCGUGCCGUGAGAUGUCCUGUUAAGUCAGGUAACGAGCGAGAUCCCUGCCUCUAGUUGCCACCAUUACUCUCAGGAGUAGUGGGGCGAAUUAGCGGGACCGCCGCAGUUAAUGCGGAGGAAGGAAGGGGCCACGGCAGGUCAGUAUGCCCCGAAACUCUGGGGCCACACGCGGGCUGCAAUGGUAGUGACAAUUGGUUCCGAAUCCGAAAGGAGGAGGUAAUCCCUAAACGCUACCACAGUUAUGACUGAGGGCUGC
rnacentral:rRNA from 1 species